UAUUGCAAUGAACAAUGCUACCAACCUGGAAGAGCUGCAGCUCAUUGAGUUUGGGCGAAGGUUCAGGCACAGCCAGCAGCUGAGCAUGGAGAGCCCCGAGAUUGGCAGCGUUUUGAAUCAAGAGCUGCUGGCUGUGUCGGAGAGGAAGCGCUGCCACCCAUGCCCCUGCACCUGCAUUGGAUUGCCAGGCUUGCAAGGCCCCUUGGGCAUUCCAGGGCGUAAGAGCACGUGCCUGAAGGGGCAGAAAGGAGCCCAGGGCAGGAAGGGCAUCGCAGGUGCUCCAGGCAUUGCUGGGGAGAAGGGCUACCAAGGUGCACAGGUGAGGCCAGCUGGAUCCGCCUAUGGGGAGCAGUUCCAGAUCUUCGCCCGGUGACUCCGUGACAAUAGGCACAGAAGGGGACCUGUAACAAGCACUCACCGGGGGUUACACUUGCUCAAACAGGCAGAACUCCCAUUGAAGUCAAUGGAUUAUCAAGGUCUGCAGGGCUUGGCCCACACAAGCUCACUUCAUGCUGAAGGAUCCCAGAGCACUGAAGGGGUUCACCUGAGAUCACGCUGUAGCUGGAACUAGAACCCAGGCUUCCUAGGCCAGGACCUUCUCCACUAGACCAGAUUUCCCUCCAUGCCUAUCCCCCUGGAGCCUCCAAACUCUGAGUUGGACCAUCACUGCAAAACACUGGAUUUCCCAGGAGAUACAGAAGGCUUACACAGGGAAACCUAUAGACCAUGUGUUCAGUGCCCUAUUUCCCCUAAAAACUCUAUGUGCCAUCUAUGCCAGGCUUCCAGACAGUCCCUCUUGCAGAGCAGCUUAGCUCACAAGAACCACUGCAAAGGAUGCUAGAGCUCCACCAUCGGUCCUUUCACAAAACAUUUACCUCGAGUCAAGUUCUUCUCUUCCCCAAGCCCAGCUGCAUGCGUACCUGUAUCCAAGAGAAUCACAACAGUCAGAGCAUCACUGCAGGGCAAGUGGAGGGGAGGGAUAGCUCAGUCGUUUGAGCAUUGGCCUGCUAAACCCAGGGUUAUGAACUCAAGCCUUGAGGGGGCCACUUAGGGAUCUAGGGCAAAAAAUCAGUACCUGGUUCUGCUAGUGAAGGCAGGGGGCUGGAUUCAACAACCUUUUGGAUCCCUUCCAGUUUAUGAGAUAGGUAUAUCUCCAUAUAUUAUGCAGGCUAUGGAACCAAUGCAGGAUGAGUCUUGCUUAAGUCACUCCCGCUGCCUGUAAGGAUGGAGCAAUCUCAGCCAUUGGAGUCAUGGGACGUUUGGGCUAAUCUUGUGCUGGCACAGAGUAUAUGGUGUAUUAGACAAUGGCAGCAGUGCGACUGGGUUCUGAACCAUGACAUCUGCCAAAAGGUGAGCUGCCCCUUUAAGGAGGA
rnacentral:lncRNA from 1 species